GGGCUCGUAGCUCAACUGGUAGAGCGCCCGGCUCAUAACCGGGCGGUCGGUGGUUCGACUCCACCCGAGCCCA
rnacentral:tRNA from 1 species